rnacentral:rRNA from 1 species
CCUACGGGAGGCAGCAGUGGGGAAUAUUGCACAAUGGGGGAAACCCUGAUGCAGCGACGCCGCGUGAGUGAAGAAGUAAUUCGUUAUGUAAAGCUCUAUCAGCAGGGAAGAAAAUGACGGUACCUGAGUAAGAAGCCCCGGCUAACUACGUGCCAGCAGCCGCGGUAAUACGUAGGUGGCAAGCGUUGUCCGGAUUUACUGGGUGUAAAGGGCGUGUAGCCGGGUUGACAAGUCAGAUGUGAAAUCCUGCGGCUUAACCGCAGAACUGCAUUUGAAACUGUUGAUCUUGAGUACUGGAGAGGCAGACGGAAUUCCUAGUGUAGCGGUGAAAUGCGUAGAUAUUAGGAGGAACACCAGUGGCGAAGGCGGUCUGCUGGACAGCAACUGACGGUGAGGCGCGAAAGCGUGGGGAGCAAACAGGAUUAGAUACCCCAGUAGUC